rnacentral:rRNA from 1 species
GUAGGGUGCGAGCGUUAAUCGGAAUUACUGGGCGUAAAGCGUGCGCAGGCGGUUUUGCAAGCCGGAUGUGAAAUCCCCGGGCUUAACCUGGGAAUGGCAUUUGGGACUGCAAGGCUGGAGUGCGGCAGAGGAGACUGGAAUUCCUGGUGUAGCAGUGAAAUGCGUAGAUAUCAGGAGGAACACCGAUGGCGAAGGCAGGUCUCUGGGCUGACACUGACGCUCAUGCACGAAAGCGUGGGGAGCAAACAGGAUUAGAUACCCUGGUAGUCCACGCCCUAAACGAUGUCGACUGGUUGUUGGGAAGGUUUCUUCUCAGUAACGUAGCUAACGCGUGAAGUUGACCGCCUGGGGAGUACGGCCGCAAGGUUG